AGUGAACGCUGGCGGCGUGCCUAAUACAUGCAAGUCGAACGAUGAAGUCCUAGCUUGCUAGGAUGGAUUAGUGGCGCACGGGUGAGUAAUAUAUAGUUAAUCUGCCCUACACAGAGGAACAACAGUUGGAAACGGCUGCUAAUACCUCAUACUCCUAUUUGACAUAAGUUAAAUAGGGAAAGUCUUUUCGGUGUAGGAUGAGACUAUAUCGUAUCAGCUAGUUGGUAAGGUAAUGGCUUACCAAGGCUAUGACGCGUAACUGGUCUGAGAGGAUGAUCAGUCACAUUGGAACUGAGACACGGUCCAAACUCCUACGGGAGGCAGCAGUAAGGAAUAUUGCGCAAUGGGGGAAACCCUGACGCAGCAACGCCGCGUGGAGGAUGACACUUUUCGGAGCGUAAACUCCUUUUAUCAGGAAAGAAUAAUGACGGUACCUGAUGAAUAAGCACCGGCUAACUCCGUGCCAGCAGCCGCGGUAAUACGGGGGGUGCAAGCGUUACUCGGAAUCACUGGGCGUAAAGGACGCGUAGGCGGAUUAUCAAGUCUUUUGUGGAAUCUAGUGGCUUAACCACUAAACUGCUUAGGAAACUGAUAGUCUAGAGUAGGGGAGAGGUAGAUGGAAUUCUUGGUGUAGGGGUAAAAUCCGUAGAGAUCAAGAAGAAUACCCAUUGCGAAAGCGAUCUGCUGGAACCUAACUGACGCUGAGGCGUGAAAGCGUGGGUAGCAAACAGG
rnacentral:rRNA from 1 species